CCCUUUGUGACAUACCUAACUGUUGCUUCGGCGGGUUAGGGGGUCCCCCCGGGGACGCCCUCCCGGCCGCGCCCUCCUCCUCCGGGAGGGGUCGCGGCGCCCGCCGGAGGAUAACCAAACUCUGAUUUAACGACGUUUCUUCUGAGUGGCACAAGCAAAUAAUUAAAACUUUUAACAACGGAUCUCUUGGUUCUGGCAUCGAUGAAGAACGCAGCGAAAUGCGAUAAGUAAUGUGAAUUGCAGAAUUCAGUGAAUCAUCGAAUCUUUGAACGCACAUUGCGCCCGCCAGCAUUCUGGCGGGCAUGCCUGUUCGAGCGUCAUUUCAACCCUCAAGCUUCGCUUGGUGUUGGGGCACUACGGUUGACGUAGGCCCUCAAAAGUAGUGGCGGACCCUCCCGGAGCCUCCUUUGCGUAGUAACUAACGUCUCGCAUCGGGAUCCGGAGGGACUCUUGCCGUAAAACCCCCUAACUUUUAACUGGUUGACCUCGGAUCAGGUAGGAAUACCCGCUGAACUUAAGCAUA
rnacentral:rRNA from 1 species